rnacentral:lncRNA from 1 species
CGAUUUGGGCAAGCAGUGGGCAAAUCACUGGGCAAAUCACUGCCUCUGGGCUGCCUCGCAGUAGCGCCCUGUUUUCUGUCUUGGGCUGGACUUUCUGCCUUGAUCAUUGGAUUGAGGAAGGGGAAUCCAAAGGGAUUUCUUCCACAAGAUGAACAGCAAAUCCUUCAUAAAAUUUCUUCAAACGAUGUCCAUUAACCUUGAAAACCUUGCU